rnacentral:rRNA from 1 species
CUACGGGCGGCUGCAGUGAGGAAUAUUGCACAAUGGGGGGAACCCUGAUGCAGCAACGCCGCGUGGAGGAUGACGCAUUUCGGUGUGUAAACUCCUUUUAUAUGUCAAGAAAAUAACGGUAGCAUAUGAAUAAGCACCGGCUAACUCCGUGCCAGCAGCCGCGGUAAUACGGAGGGUGCAAGCGUUACUCGGAAUCACUGGGCGUAAAGGACGCGUAGGCGGGUUGGAAAGUCAGGUGUGAAAUCCUACAGCUUAACUGUAGAACUGCACUUGAAACUUCUAAUCUAGAGUAUGGGAGGGGGAGAUGGAAUUAGUGGUGUAGGGGUACAUCCGUAGAUAUCACUAGGAAUACCUAAAGCGAAGGCGAUCUCCUGGAACAUUACUGACGCUAAGGCGUGAAAGCGUGGGGAGCAAACAGGAUUAGAUACCCUAGUAGUC